rnacentral:lncRNA from 1 species
GCAAGGUGAGCAGUCUGUGCGAGCCUGCAUACGUAGGCCUUUGGUCAACGCGCAGUAGGCCUACACGUUCGGCAGUCGCCCCUUGGGGGUGUCAGUCAUCCCUUGGGGGGCGUGUGCUGCCUGUUGGGCAGUGUGCCACUACCGUUUGGGCAGCGUACCUUCGGUCUUUGCAUUGCCGUUGUUGUGUUGACCAUCUAUCAAUUGCGUCUAUCAGUCGUCACAUUGCAUCAAGUCACUCUUUC